CCUCAAUUCCAACGAGUAAUACGGAGGGUGCAAGCGUUAUCCGGAUUUAUUGGGUUUAAAGGGUCCGUAGGCGGAUGCGUAAGUCAGUGGUGAAAUCUCACAGCUCAACUGUGAAACUGCCAUUGAUACUGCGUGUCUUGAGUGAGGUUGAAGUAGCUGGAAUAAGCAGUGUAGCGGUGAAAUGCAUAGAUAUUACUUAGAACACCAAUUGCGAAGGCAGGUUACUAAGUCUCAACUGACGCUGAUGGACGAAAGCGUGGGGAGCGAACAGGAUUAGAUACCCUGGUAGUCCACGCUGUAAACGAUGCUAACUCGUUUUUGGGGAUUUAUCUUCAGAGACUAAGCGAAAGUGAUAAGUUAGCCACCUGGGGAGUACGAACGCAAGUUUGAAACUCAAAGGAAUUGACGGGGGCCCGCACGAGCGGUGGAUUAUGUGGUUUAAUUCGAUGAUACGCGAGGAACCUUACCAAGGCUUAAAUGGGAAUUGAUCGGUUUAGAAAUAGACCUUCCUUCGGGCAAUUUUCAAGGUGCUGCAUGGUUGUCGUCAGCUCGUGCCGUGAGGUGUUAGGUUAAGUCCUGCAACGAGCGCAACCCCUGUCACUAGUUGCCAUCAUUCAGUUGGGGACUCUAGUGAGACUGCCUACGCAAGUAGAGAGGAAGGUGGGGAUGACGUCAAAUCAUCACGGCCCUUACGCCUUGGGCCACACACGUAAUACAAUGGCCGGUACAGAGGGCAGCUACUCAGCGAUGUGAUGCAAAUCUCGAAAGCCGGUCUCAGUUCGGAUUGGAGUCUGCAACUCGACUCUAUGAAGCUGGAAUCGCUAGUAAUCGCGCAUCAGCCAUGGCGCGGUGAAUACGUUCCCGGGCCUUGUACACACCGCCCGUCAAGCCAUGGAAGUCUGGGGUACCUGAAGUCGGUGACCGUAAAAGGAGCUGCCUAGGGUAAAACAGGUAACUAGGGCUAAGUCGUAACAAGGUAGCC
rnacentral:rRNA from 1 species